rnacentral:rRNA from 1 species
GACAGAGGUGCCGAGCGUUAGGCGGAAUCACUGGGCUUAAAGCGUGUGUAGGCGGCCCGUUAAGUGUCCCGUGAAAUCCCCCGGCUCAACCGGGGAACCGCGGGGCAUACUGGCGGGCUUGGGCCACUCAGGGGCAGACGGAACAGGCGGUGGAGCGGUGAAAUGCGUAGAUAUCGCCUGGAACGCCGAAGGUGAAGACAGGUGACUGGGCUAGUUCUGACACUGAGGCACGAAAGCGUGGGGAGCGAACAGG